rnacentral:rRNA from 1 species
AGGAGAGUUUGAUCCUGGCUCAGGAUGAACGCUGGCGGCGUGCUUAAUACAUGCAAGUCGAACGAAGAUAUUUCGCUGAGGCGAGCUUGCUCAAUUCUUGAAAUAUCUUAGUGGCGGACGGGUGAGUAACGCGUGGGUAACCUGCCUUACACAGGGGGAUAACAGUUAGAAAUGACUGCUAAUACCGCAUAAGCGCACAGUAUCGCAUGAUACAGUGUGAAAAGAUUUAUCGGCAUACGAUGGACCCGCGUUUGAUUAGAUAGUUGGUGAGGUAACGGCUCACCAAGUCGACGAUCAAUAGCCGGCCUGAGAGGGCAAUCGGCCACAUUGGGACUGAGACACGGCCCAAACUCCUACGGGAGGCAGCAGUGGGGAAUAUUGCACAAUGGGGGAAACCCUGAUGCAGCGACGCCGCGUGAGUGAAGAAGUAUUUCGGUAUGUAAAGCUCUAUCAGCAGGGAAGAUGAUGACGGUACCUGACUAAGAAGCCCCGGCUAACUACGUGCCAGCAGCCGCGGUAAUACGUAGGGGGCAAGCGUUAUCCGGAUUUACUGGGUGUAAAGGGAGCGUAGACGGCGUAUCAAGUCUGAAGUGAAAGCCCGCGGCUCAACCGCGGAACUGCUUUGGAAACUGGUAAGCUUGAGUGCGGGAGGGGUAAGUGGAAUUCCUAGUGUAGCGGUGAAAUGCGUAGAUAUUAGGAGGAACACCAGUGGCGAAGGCGGCUUACUGGACCGUAACUGACGUUGAGGCUCGAAAGCGUGGGGAGCAAACAGGAUUAGAUACCCUGGUAGUCCCCU